rnacentral:rRNA from 1 species
GCUCAGGAUGAACGCUGGCGGCGUGCCUAAUACAUGCAAGUCGAGCGAACAGAUAAGGAGCUUGCUCCUUUGACGUUAGCGGCGGACGGGUGAGUAACACGUGGGUAACCUACCUAUAAGACUGGAAUAACUCCGGGAAACCGGGGCUAAUGCCGGAUAACAUGUUGAACCGCAUGGUUCUACAGUGAAAGACGGUCUUGCUGUCACUUAUAGAUGGACCCGCGCCGUAUUAGCUAGUUGGUGGGGUAACGGCCUACCAAGGCGACGAUACGUAGCCGACCUGAGAGGGUGAUCGGCCACACUGGAACUGAGACACGGUCCAGACUCCUACGGGAGGCAGCAGUAGGGAAUCUUCCGCAAUGGGCGAAAGCCUGACGGAGCAACGCCGCGUGAGUGAUGAAGGUCUUCGGAUCGUAAAGCUCUGUUGUUAGGGAAGAACAAAUGUGUAAGUAACUGUGCACAUCUGACGGUACC